UACGAUAGAGGAGCGGACUUUAUCAGUAAUCUUUUGGAGCAAGACCAUGCGACGAAGAAAGAUGAAAGGAAAUUUCGCCGAAGUGUAUUAAUGGUAAGUUAAUAUGCUGGGCAUGCAAACAAUAUUUGCAUGACUGUCACAAAUAUGUGGGGAGCUAUCU
rnacentral:ncRNA from 1 species